GAAUCCUACGGGAGGCAGCAGUGGGGAAUAUUGGACAAUGGGCGCAAGCCUGAUCCAGCCAUGCCGCGUGAGUGAUGAAGGCCUUAGGGUUGUAAAGCUCUUUCACCCACGACGAUGAUGACGGUAGUGGGAGAAGAAGCCCCGGCUAACUUCGUGCCAGCAGCCGCGGUAAUACGAAGGGGGCUAGCGUUGUUCGGAAUUACUGGGCGUAAAGCGCACGCAGGCGGUUCGGUCAGUCAGAAGUGAAAGCCCCGGGCUUAACCUGGGAACUGCUUUUGAUACUGCCGAGCUUGAAUCACGGAGAGGGUAGUGGAAUUCCGAGUGUAGAGGUGAAAUUCGUAGAUAUUCGGAAGAACACCAGUGGCGAAGGCGACUACCUGGCCGUCGAUUGACGCUCAUGUGCGAAAGCGUGGGGAGCAAACAGGAUUAGAUACCCUGGUAG
rnacentral:rRNA from 1 species